GUGACGUGUGUGUUGGGGUGCUGGACAGUGGAUGGUCUGUGUGGGGUACUGGGCAGUUGUGGUGGGGCUCAGGGCAGGGGGGUGCUGAGCAGAGGUGGUGUUCAGGAUGCUGUGCAUUUGUGGGGGGGGGGGGUUGCUGGGCAUAGUGGUUCCAAGGGGUACUGGGGGGGGGCUGCGUGGCACUACAUGGACCCACCCCCACGGGGAAGGGGCACGCUGGCAGCACAGGGCUGGGCGGGCCAGUGUGCGUCUAGCAACUGCCAGUUUGUAAACAGUGCCCUUGCACUGUGCGGAGCAGGACUGCCCCUGCCGUGCCAUGCCCCAUUGCCCCGGCCAGCCCCUUGCUCCAAGGACUGACCUUCCCGUGCCAUGCUCCAUUGCCCCCAGAGGAGCCCACAAAUGUUUGGAGCUGAGCCCGCAAAAAGUUAAUCCGGCCCGCAUGCUCCAUCUCAAUCUAGACGCCUGCCUCUUGGAUCAAGAUGGAGUAUUGCAUGCUGGGGUUUGUGGUCUGGCCCCAUCUUGUAGAGGAAGGUGGCUGCAGUCUGCUCCGUGUUCUAGCUAAUUAGGACUGGAUUCCUCUGGCUCCUGGUAAGUUACCAUUUGCCCUUCAGUUGGGCAAAGUUCGGGCGCCCGUGAGGCUGGGAAAUCUAGGCUGCUCUUUAGAAACACUGAUUAUUUGUGUUCUAAUAGGACUUAUUUUUUUAAAAAGCUUAGUUGUUAUUUUUAUUCUAUUUAAUAAUAAGGAUUUUCUGAAUUGUCUGCAACUGAAUUGUGAAAUCACUUGCCUCUUUGUAUGACCUCAGAGGGGAGAUUUUUCAAACAUAUCUAGCACCUUUUAUUCUGUGAUGCAGUCUCUCAGCGGAGUGAAUGUUUUAAAGGACACUGUCACUUUCAAAUCUAGUCUUCUUCACUCAGACUAGGAAAAGGAGCUGGUUUAACUUGAUUGAAAACCCCUCUUACUACCACCACCCCAAAAUCACAAACUGACAAAACACUUAACACCGAUGUGGACACAGUUCAACACAUUUAGUUCAAUUUUAGGAUCCUGCUUCAGCUGUAACUUCACAUGGUAGAAUGAUAUGAAAGCAGUUGCACUGUGUCUAUGCAGGUGCAAAGUGGGCUUUUCAAUCAAGAUCAAGCUCGGUUAGCGGAAAUUUUUUUUUUUCUUCUGGUCUUAGACAAGACCCGAGUUGAAGUUUUUCAAGUACUUCACUUGCCACAGCCACAUUGUGUGUGGGGAGGGGUGGCUCAAUACGAAAAUGGGAAAGCUUCCUAAUUGAAUAACUAGGGGUAUCCACAAAGCUUACCAUACGUGAAAUGCUGCCAAAUGUAGAGUAAACAGGCUGAAAAAAGAGAGAGACUUUGAUUGAUCUGUCUGUUACAGUGAUCAGAGGUGUUACGAUAUCUUACCCAGUGAUGCAAGUCAGAUGGACUGUGUCUUUUUAUGUUCACUGACCUCAAAGGAGCACUGGAAGUCAGGGAUUUAUUUAUUUAGAAACUAUUUGUGAGGCCAGAACCUUGUAUGAUAAACUGACAAUUAAUGGUGCAAUUUGAAAGGCUGCUUACUUCUUGGGCUUAAUCCUGCAAGGUGCUGAACUCCUUCUCUUUUCCUUGACAUCAGCAGGAAUGUGGAGGGUGCUCUGCACCUAGGUUGUAAUUUGUGCUAUGGUUCUGCAUUGUUUGUUGUUUGUACCCAGACCCUAAGCUGUCCUUCAGUAGAAGACUUUGCCAUAGGUCAAAAUGAGUUUUGCUCUAAAUAGAGCAGUCGGUUUGCUCACCAGCUGGGUUGCUUGGUUCAAAAAGUCUUCUGUCUUUGCAGCUCAUCCUGCUUCUGUGUUACUUUUCUUCCUGAGACCCUCCCCCCCAGCUCAUGCACAGCUGAUAUUAUUUAAUGUAUUCUGUCAUGGUCUGUGCUCAGCCUAGGUCCUCUUGCAGCAGGGCUACAAGCUUCAGUGCCUUUCUGCCCUUCUUCACACAGCCUAGGAGAGUUGGAGCGUUCCAGUUCCCAACAGCAUCUGCUUUAUAAAUCACUUGCGUUCAGUCACUGUGAGCUCUGCCUACUGCCACCCUAUAGCAAAGCAAACCCUUGCUCACGUUGGAGGUGAAGGUGUGUCCAUGGCAUAGACGUCAUGAGGAGCCCUGCCAAUUUCAGGGCUCAGAUUGAACAGCCCAAGUGAACAAAGUAUGGGGCUGGGAGACAGGGACUCCCAAGUCCUAAUCAUAGCUCAGCCAUCAGCUCUCUUCCACACCUUCAGACAGGUCACUUUACCUGCCUGUACCUGACUUCCCCAGCUGUAAAUUUGGGGAAUAUCCCAGGCUCUUCCAAACGGGACCGAUAAUCUUCAUCACUGGUUUUUGAAAUGGUAUUAACCUUAUUACAAGGUAACAUUUGACACAGUAACAUACUGAGGCACAUCGUUUAGCAGUGCCCUUAAGUGGAUACUGUUACAAUAAUUUGCUUUAUGGGCUUUUAUUACAACACUAAUUUCUAUAAAGUUUAUAAGGCAAGAUUGGAAUUUCAGAUAACAAGUUCUUAGUCAGUUUUUUGCAUACUCGGUUUAGGCCGAGAUUGCGUAAACUAUCGUUUGCCUUGGACCUUUCACUACUUUAGCUUUCUACAAGAAGAACACGGACAGGUGGCUGUAGUUGAUCGUUACAAAGUAAUUGUGAAUAUACUUUCUGGUGAGCUUCAGGAGACACUAGAAGCAGCUUGGAAUCAUUCUGCAUAUUUGGGGUUAUUGUUACAUUAAUAGAUUUGCAUGUGUCAGAGAGCAAUUUGGCUAUGACUAAUCAUUGUGUGGUUGUUGGAUUAUGAGUAUUUAAAUUCUAAAUUUCUGACUUCAGAAUUACUUCUGGUUGAACUGUUACAAAUGGUCCUUCUAUUUGUUGAUUGGAAUGCAACUGAUUUGGAAUAUAAUAAUGGCACAUAUUAAAGGAACCAUAUUAGUAUGCGAAUCACCCUCCCAGAAUAUAAAAUGGAAUUAGAUACAUUUACCACUUGUGAUCAAACUUUGGUUUAUUGUUUGAGUUGUUAUCCGUUUGCCCAUGUUGAACUCUUUGUGUUGAAAUUAAUUCAAUAAAUAGUAAUGCUAUCAUAUUCA